CUUAAAGGAAUUGACGGGGGCCCGCACAAGCGGUGGAGCAUGUGGUUUAAUUCGAUGAUACGCGAGGAACCUUACCUGGGCUCAAAUGUAUGUUGACGUAUUUCUGAAAGGGAUACUUCUUCGGACAAUAUACGAGGUGCUGCAUGGUUGUCGUCAGCUCGUGCCGUGAGGUGUCGGGUUAAGUCCCAAUAACGAGCGCAACCCCUACCUUUAGUUGCCAUCAGGUUAAGCUGGGGACUCUAAAGGAACUGCCUACGCAAGUAGUGAGGAAGGCGGGGAUGACGUCAAAUCAGCACGGCCCUUACGUCCAGGGCUACACACGUGCUACAAUGGCCGAUACAGAGGGCAGCUACCUGGUGACAGGAUGCAAAUCUCCAAAGUCGGUCUCAGUUCGGAUCGGAGUCUGCAACCCGACUCCGUGAAGUUGGAUUCGCUAGUAAUCGCGCAUCAGCCAUGGCGCGGUGAAUACGUUCCCGGGCCUU
rnacentral:rRNA from 1 species